rnacentral:misc_RNA from 1 species
AACGCAAAUUGCGCCCUCGGUUUGAAGCUGGGGGCACGUCUGUCUGAGCGUCCGUUUCGUUUCAGUUGAUCCCGACAUCGCGUCGGGACGGCGAGUUGAGGAGUCGUUCCGCGAGGGGCGUCCCUUGAAGUGCGAAGCGCCGCGGUUGCGUAGGCCUCUCCUCGCGAGUGUCCUUCCACCUUGCGCGUCGGGAACUCGACGAUGACAAGGAGGUCGGCCUCGUCUGCGAGGACCUUCGCUUCCGGGUGAAGUCUUUCCGGUUUUACCAAAGGAGCGGCUCCGCCGCUUCCAUCCUGGACCUCAGCUCAGGCGUGACUACCCGCUGAAUUUAA